rnacentral:piRNA from 1 species
UCUCUCUUCAGGGUCAGGCAGCAAAUAUUU